UUGCGCAAGGUGAAUUCAGAGGGAGUACCAGGAUGGGUACAAUGCAGGGUCGUCGAGCUUGAGCCACUGCUCCCCGUUGACAUCCCGUGUAACCAAGCUAGUCUGAUUGGUGUUGCUGAGGGUGUUGGUGUCAUAUUAAUGAGCGUAAAUGUCGUCGCGUUCAUGGUUGAGCUCAAGUCAGGGAAAGUGAGGAAGGUAAGCGAAGCCGGGGACCACUAUUCUGCCUUACCCUUCAUGAGCUUCUGCACUCCAGAUUGGGGGUAGAUUGUCAUCGCCAGCGAGGACUUGAUGAUUUCUAAUGUGCCGCUCAACAGUAAGACCUGGCAAAAUGGACGAAUCCACCAUCUUGAGUCUGCUGCUACUGGCAUCUUGCAGAGCCGCUACUUUCAAGUAGUUUCUGUUGUGUUGAACAGUUCGAGUACGAAUGGUGCAAGUCAUUAUGGCAAAUUAUGGUUCAUUUUGUUGAA